CUUGGUGCUGUUCCCCAGGCGCCCAGCAUGUAGCAGGCACGGUGCCGGCUGCAGAGGUCCUGGAGAGCCAGGGUGGCUGGCUGGAUGCCUCUGGUCGGGGCUGUCUGGCCAGUAGCCUCGGAUGCCCUCAUAGGGAGCCAGUGAAGCCCCAAGUGCCCUGCCUGCCUGGGGGCUGAUGGGUUCCCGGCGGGGUCGAGAGGCAAGCUCUGUGCCCUGCGUGUUGAGGCCCCCUUGCUGGACACGGCUGAUGGCCACACUGCCCUGUGGUCAUGGCCCACAGCCGAGGGGCUUUCAGCUGCUCAGAUGUCAGCACCAAGCUGGGCAGGUUAGUGUAGACGGUGCCCACCUUUGAGACCAGAAGGAAGUUGGAAGCAGGAGUGAUUUUGAUGAUGUGAGGCCUUCAGGGAAUGUCCUGUUCACUCCUCCCCCAAGAGGCUGUGGAGACUGUGGCCGCUGACCCCUGAGGGCAGUUGGCCACCCGUGCCCUCCAGGGACAUGGCGUGCCUGGCGGCGUAGUGCAAAGGUGCCCUCUGCUUGCCCCUGGCCUUCUGCCUCAGGGGCCCCUGGGACACAGGCCUUCCU
rnacentral:lncRNA from 1 species